rnacentral:lncRNA from 1 species
GCAGUUCUAUUUGCUGUUCUCCUCCUCCCAUUCCUAACAAGCCGUGUACAGUUGUGGAUCCCCCCAGAUGAACUUGAUGGCUGAAGUAGUGUAUGAGUCAAGCUUUUCUCCAAAGACACCUGAAUUCACCCCAGGCUCCUCUACUCCUCUACUUGGAUACAAGGACAGAAAAAUUCCCUGCUCAGUGGAGCUGAGAAGACUGAUGGUGCAGUGCUUCUACAAGCGUCACCAAAGGGACAUAACCUUCUUGAAGUGCUGGUGUGUCUGGAACAAAGGCUGGAAGGAAAGAAUCAGGAAGAAAAUCUGGGAAAGAAAGCAAGUGCCCUGGCUGGAGACCAAACAAAGAACAGGAAUACGACCAGAUAAAGAGGCUUUGUCAAAGCACAUUAAGGGACACUAUAGUCGCUAAACUCUCAUAAAGAAAACAAAUAGAGCAGACAUGCUACAGACUUGGACUUGCUUUCUACAUCAGACUAUCAAGUGUGUUUCAAGUUGAAAAGAUUCCAGCUGGGCCAUAAAAGCUUCCCUUGCAUCAGGUGAGUCAUCCAUGCUGCUGACGUAGGGCCCAGCACUCUUACAUGCACACACGCUUACA